CUGCUCUUACCGGUCGGACCGGAAACACCUCCUUCAUCACAUGGUUUUCAACACGACACCAAUCUGAGCUGAAUGUUGUCAGAUUACCGUAAAGACAUGCUUCUACUCUCCACAACCACCGUCGCACACCUAUUAACGAACCAGGAACCAGUGCGAGUACCUGCUUGUGUUGGAGCUGGCAGCUGUACUGGGCCAGUGUGGAGUACAGGAACUGGUACUGCUCUGUGGUUUGGAUCAUACCACCCCUGCACAGGACGGGGGAGGGACUACAGGUUAGACAAGUGACAUUUCAGGAAUGAACCAAGUGUUACAGCACAGACGCAGAGCAAGGGAAAGAGAGGACUGUUUCAUCUACCUGUCGAGUCGAAGCUGACACACCGUCUCCAGGAUGUCCACCUGUCCCGUUUCUCUGAGCUGCUGACUGCCGAUGCUGCUGACGAUAAAACAGCCUGUCCUCCCUAUGCCUGCACUGAGAGGACACAAGAGACAUUAGUGGAAUUAAUUGUCCUAAAUCGCUCAUUACAGCCUGGUGAAUGUCACCUGUCCAUGAGGAGGUGAACGCUGCCUGUUGACCUGUCGACCCUUCGGGGCAGUAAAAAGAAGAACUUGACAGCACAGAGCUGCCCUGUCCCGCUUCCUGUCCGGCAGACGACACCAGAACACAAAGAGGGAGACUUUUUAUUAGAAUACCGCUCCAGCUUCCAAACUGUAAUCGCAGAAUCAAAGACAGAAACAAAGCAGGAACGGUUAGACGCGAGGUAGGAGGUGAAGAUCUCGCUCGAGCAAAGCGGCGAGGACGAACAGCUGAGUCCAGGGUCUCACGUCACAGGUUUAUUUUGACCAAAGCAGAGCUGCUGAUUGUUGGAACAGUGGAAAAACGAACCGAGGCGGUCUCAAAGACCAACACAGCAUGUGAAGACUGAACGACCCGACACUCAUGUCACUUCCUCUUCCUCGGCUGUUGCUCAGCUUUGGUCACUUUCCCUCCUCCAGUUACUUUCCGGUGCGAGACUGAUGGUGAAGAAAGCGUGGAUCUUUUUCUUGGAACAUUUUAAAUCUACAGCAAAUUUUACAGCAUUUGUAUUUUUUCUGUGAUUAAUGAGAAAACUUGGUGAGAUCAGAGGCAGAGACACUCGAGCAGCUGUGACGGUUAUCAUGAAUCUGGGUUUUCUCACAUCAGCUGUGAUGUUCACACAACUCCCACAAUCCUCCUCUGCUGAGGAGGAGCUACUGAGAGCACCCAACACUGCGCGACAAGGAACCAACCUGCAGUGGACGAUGAUUGGUCCAGGACCGGGGACUGGGGAUGUGAUUGGCUGAGAGCUUGGUGGUGGGAGUGACUUGCUGUACGUCUCCACCUCCUCCACCAGUCUCAGCAGAGGAGCGGUGCAUUGUGGGAUGUGGUGGUCAGGCCAAGAGGUGAACCAGUAGUGUCUGAUGGGACGACGCUCUGCACACAGCUGCACACACACACACACACACACACACACACACACACACUUGUCAAUGCAGAGAUUUGUCAUUUUUCAGUUCAGGUUUUUGAUGUGCACCUUGAUGUCCACAGCUGACGUCACAAUCAUGUGAUUGCGACAUCAUGUUCAUUACAGCUUCGGACUUUGUCUCCAGAUGUUGAUUCACUCCCCAUUGCUCUCAGCAGGACACUCCUCCAAAUGGGGUUGAAAAUAUGGCUGAAAAUGUAAUGAUUCGAUUGGCUGUAUGAUGGCAGCUUCUCCAUCUGCGUAGACGCAGAACUAAACGGCAAAAACAGGGGCCGCCAUCAUGGCGUCCACAGGAGUUUAAAGCAUGUGCUGCGGCAUAAAAAAAAAAAUCAUUUCAGAUGUACUGAAGACGAGACGACCUUUUUCUUAAUCAGAUAAUUGCUCAUA